AACCCCUCUUUUUAUGCAAUUUUUUUUUUUUUUGUUUUUCAAUCAUUUAUUAAUAUUUACAUUAAAAAAUUUAAAGUUAUGCUUUUUAUUGUGCCACGUGGCCCAAUUAAUAUAGGCCACGUGGCAUUCCAUUAAGUGUUACCAUUUUUUAAACGGCUGGUGUAACAUAGGGACCAAUACCAAAAUGCUUUCAAACUACAAGGAUCAAAAACCAACAGAAAAAACUACAAGAACUAAUACCAAAAGUAUGUGAAACUGCAAGGACUUAUAACAUAUUUAAGCCUUCAAUUUAU
rnacentral:lncRNA from 1 species